rnacentral:rRNA from 1 species
UACGUAGGUGGCGAGCGUUAUCCGGAAUGAUUGGGCGUAAAGGGUGCGUAGGCGGCCUGCUAAGUCUGGAGUGAAAGGUACCGGCUCAACCGGUACAGGCUCUGGAAACUGGCGGGCUAGAGAGCAGGAGAGGGCGGUGGAACUCCAUGUGUAGCGGUAAAAUGCGUAGAUAUAGUGGAAGAACACCAGUGGCGAAGGCGGCCGCCUGGCCUGUUACUGACGCUGAGGCACGAAAGCGUGGGGAGCAAAUAGGG